CUCUAAUACAAAUUUUUCAGAUUAUAUAUUUUAAGGAAUAUAUACAGUAAAAGUAUUAGUAUUAAAGAAACCUAUUCCUUCCUAAGUAAAAGUAGGUAAAUAAGAAUCAGCAAUUUAUGUAUUAGUAGAAAUAUAUUUUGAAUAUAUGUAAAUUGC
rnacentral:ncRNA from 12 species